rnacentral:tRNA from 1 species
GCGGAUGUAGCUCAGUUGGUAGAGCGCUAGACUCAUAAUCUAGAGGUCGCCGGUUCAAGUCUCGGCCAUCCGCA